GGGUGCGAUCAUACCAGCAUUAAUGCACCGGAUCCCAUCAGAACUUCGUAGUUAAGUGCGCUUGGGCUAGAGUUGUACUGGGAUGGGUGACCUCCCCGGAAGUCUUAGUGUUGCACCCU
rnacentral:rRNA from 1 species